rnacentral:rRNA from 1 species
GGCCGCAGUAUUUUGACUGUGCAAAGGUAGCAUAAUCAUUAGUCUUUUAAUUGAAGGCUAGAAUGAAUGGUUGGACGAAAUAUUAACUGUUUCAUUAAAAUUUUUAUUAGAAUUUUAUUUUUUAGUUAAAAAGCUAAAAUUUAUUUAAAAGACGAGAAGACCCUAUAAAUCUUUAUAUUUAAAUUAUUGUAAUUUUUUAGAAAUAUUUUAUUAUUAUAAUUGAUAAUAUUUUAUUGGGGUGAUAUUAAAAUUUAAUAAACUUUUAAUUUAUAUUUACAUUGAUUUAUGAAUAAAUGAUCCGUUAUUAACGAUUAAAAAAAUAAGUUACUUUAGGGAUAACAGCGUAAUUUUUUUGGAGAGUUCAUAUCGAUAAAAAAGAUUGCGACCUCGAUGUUGGAUU